rnacentral:rRNA from 1 species
GACGAACGCUGGCGGCGUGCUUAACACAUGCAAGUCGAACGGAAAGGCCCUGCUUUUGUGGGGUGCUCGAGUGGCGAACGGGUGAGUAACACGUGAGUAACCUGCCCUUGACUUUGGGAUAACUUCAGGAAACUGGGGCUAAUACCGGAUAGGAGCUCCUGCUGCAUGGUGGGGGUUGGAAAGUUUCGGCGGUUGGGGAUGGACUCGCGGCUUAUCAGCUUGUUGGUGGGGUAGUGGCUUACCAAGGCUUUGACGGGUAGCCGGCCUGAGAGGGUGACCGGCCACAUUGGGACUGAGAGACGGCCCAGACUCCUACGGGAGGCAGCAGUGGGGAAUAUUGCACAAUGGGCGGAAGCCUGAUGCAGCAACGCCGCGUGCGGGAUGACGGCCUUCGGAUUGUAAACCGCUUUCGCCUGUGACGAAGCGUGAGUGACGGUAAUGGGUAAAGAAGCACCGGCUAACUACGUG